GGGCCCGCACAAGCGGUGGAGUAUGUGGUUUAAUUCGAAGAUACGCGCAGAACCUUACCAACACUUGACAUGUUCGUCGCGAGCCUAAGAGAUUAAAGUUUUCGGUUCGGCCGGACGAAACACAGGUGCUGCAUGGCUGUCGUCAGCUCGUGUCGUGAGAUGUUGGGUUAAGUCCCGCAACGAGCGCAACCCUCACUUUUAGUUGCCAUCAUUUAGUUGGGCACUCUGAAAGAACUGCCAGUGAUAAGCUGGAGGAAGGUGGGGAUGACGUCAAGUCCCCAUGGCCCUUACGUGUUGGGCUACACACGUGCUACAAUGGCAUUUACAAUAGGAAGCAAGAUGGCGACAUUAAGCAAAUCCUAAAAAAAUGCCUCAGUUCGGAUUGUACUCUGCAACUCGAGUACAUGAAGCUGGAAUUACUAGUAAUCGC
rnacentral:rRNA from 1 species